GGAGAUUGAAGCUUGGUCGUUCUUUUCUUUUCCAGCCUUUGACGUUUCUCCAUAUCACUAGCAGAAACUCCCUCAGCAGCUGGAGUUCCCUCGAGAAUAAUACCUUCCUGUGCAAGAUAAAGAUUCCGGUGGUCAUGAUUGUCAUUUUUGGACUUUUCCAAUUCCUUGUCAUGAGCUGAUUUUCUAUCCAGGGCAUUCAAUACUUUCAGUUGCCUGCCUUUCAGAAAUAUUCCCACACCAGAUGCAACAUUUGCAGAAGAAACAGCAGCAGUAGCAGCAUUGACCGUUUUAAACUUGAGAAAACCAGUGCCUUUAGGUCGCUUUGUAACCUGAUGAAGGACUGGCACAAAGGAUAGCAC
rnacentral:misc_RNA from 1 species